UACGAAGGGGGCUAGCGUUGCUCGGAAUCACUGGGCGUAAAGGGUGCGUAGGCGGAUUGCUAAGUCAGGGGUGAAAUCCUGGAGCUCAACUCCAGAACUGCCCUUGAUACUGGCGGUCUCGAGUCCGGGAGAGGUGAGUGGAACUGCGAGUGUAGAGGUGAAAUUCGUAGAUAUUCGCAAGAACACCAGUGGCGAAGGCGGCUCACUGGCCCGGUACUGACGCUGAGGUGCGAAAGCGUGGGGAGCAAACGGG
rnacentral:rRNA from 1 species